GGACGACCCAGAAAACUGAGGGAGAUAGGAAGGUGGAUCCCGGGAUGGUCAUGAUGAAGUCACUCGCAGGAGAAGGAGGUGGAGGGGGAAAGAAGGUACUGCACCGGGUGUUUAAUCCUUCAGAUCCGCCGUCUUCAUCAGCGUCAUGGGAUCCGCAGGCAGGAACGCUCCAUCAAUGGUGGGCGCCGAGGGGAAGCUGAGUAUGCCCGAGUAGGAGUUCCACUGCUGCACCGAUAUGGUCUUGGCGUCCACGGAGCGCAUGCAGCUCAUCACGUGAGCGGGAUUGGUCUGGAAUCAGGUGGGAAUACGAAAAAGGUCCAUUAAAGUCAAUGCUAAGUAAUAUUCUGAUGUAAGUGGCGCGUUAAGGCGUUGCACUUGUAGUAACAUGAUGCAAUGUGAGUAUAAUAAAUAAUGUAAAUGUA